rnacentral:rRNA from 1 species
GAGUUUGAUCAUGGCUCAGGACGAACGCUGGCGGCGUGCUUAACACAUGCAAGUCGAACGGAAAGAGAUGAAAGAGCUUGCUCUUUUAUUAAUUUCAGUGGCAAACGGGUGAGUAACACGUAAACAACCUGCCUUAAGGAUGGGGAUAACAGACGGAAACGACUGCUAAUACCGAAUACGUUCUAAGCAUCGCAUGGUGCAUAGAAGAAAGGGUGGCCUCUACAAGAAAGCUAUCGCCUUAAGAGGGGUUUGCGACUGAUUAGGUAGUUGGUGAGGUAACGGCUCACCAAGCCGACGAUCAGUAGCCGGUCUGAGAGGAUGAACGGCCACACUGGAACUGAGACACGGUCCAGACUCCUACGGGAGGCAGCAGUGGGGAAUCUUCCGCAAUGGACGAAAGUCUGACGGAGCAACGCCGCGUGAACGAAGAAGGUCUUCGGAUUGUAAAGUUCUGUGAUUCGGGACGAAAGGGUUUGUGGUGAAUAAUCAUAGACAUUGACG